AACGAACGCUGGCGGCAUGCCUAACACAUGCAAGUCGAACGGGACCUUCGGGUCUAGUGGCGCACGGGUGCGUAACGCGUGGGGAUCUGCCCUUAGGUACGGAAUAACUCAGGGAAACUUGAGCUAAUACCGUAUAAUGACUUCGGUCCAAAGAUUUAUCGCCUAGGGAUGAACCCGCGUAGGAUUAGCUUGUUGGUGAGGUAAAGGCUCACCAAGGCGACGAUCCUUAGCUGGUCUGAGAGGAUGAUCAGCCACACUGGGACUGAGACACGGCCCAGACUCCUACGGGAGGCAGCAGUGGGGAAUAUUGGACAAUGGGCGAAAGCCUGAUCCAGCAAUGCCGCGUGAGUGAUGAAGGCCUUAGGGUUGUAAAGCUCUUUUACCCGGGAUGAUAAUGACAGUACCGGGAGAAUAAGCUCCGGCUAACUCCGUGCCAGCCGCCGCCGUAAG
rnacentral:rRNA from 1 species